rnacentral:rRNA from 1 species
UAUGUGAUCGUCUCUCGCAUAUCAAUAAGCGGAGGAAAAGAAACUAACAAGGAUUCCCCUAGUAACGGCGAGUGAAGCGGGAAGAGCUCAAAUUUGAAAUCUUAAAGGGUUUCCCUUUACGGAUUGUAGUUUAAAGAAGUGUUUUCUGUUGAGGUUUUGGUAAAAGUUCUUUGGAAUAGGACAUCAUAGAGGGUGAGAAUCCCGUAUUUGACCUUUACUUUCAACUUUGUGAUACACUUUCAAAGAGUCGGAUUGUUUGGGAAUGCAGUCCAAAAUGGGUGGUAAAUUUCAUCUAAAGCUAAAUAUUGGCGAGAGACCGAUAGCGAACAAGUACCGUGAGGGAAAGAUGAAAAGAACUUUGAAAAGAGAGUUAAACAGUACGUGAAAUUGUCAAAAGGGAAGCGUUUGACACCAGUGUUGUUCUUCUGAAAAUCAAUUAAAGAACUGUUUAUGCUAAGUUGUUUAGACUUUAUCAGCUAACUGUUUAGUUUUGAGCUUUUCUUUAAUGCACUUUUCAGUUAACAAGUCAACAUCAAUUUCUUUUGCUGUAAAAAAGCUUGAGGAAGGUGGCUUGAGAUUCGUCUUAAGUGUUUAUAGCCUCUUGCCUAUGCAGUCGGAGAGAUUGAGGUCUGCAGCGUAGAUCCUUCGGGGCUAAAUGCAUUUGUGCUAAGUUAUAAGCAUUUUAUAGACAACUUGUUGACUAUGAUUUGUCUUGUAGCUUACUCGCUUAUGUUAUUUUACCUACGCUUAGGAUGUUGAGUCGUAGAGCACGCAG